UCUAUGAUUUUCCAUUGUCCUCUAUUCAUUGUUGUAGCCAUGAGUCAUGAAUAAAUUUGGUGUGGACAACACUGGUUUUUUUCUAUGAUUUUCCAUUUUCCUUAGUCAAGUGCUAAGCCAACUUUUGAGAGGCUAUUUUCUUCUUGGUUCCUAGUCGAGCAGGGACGAAAGUCGGCCUUAGUGAUCCGACGGUGCCGAGUGGAAGGGCCGUCGCUCAACAGAUAAAAGUUACUCUAGGGAUAACAGGCUGAUCUUCCCCAAGAGUUCACAUCGACGGGAAGGUUUGGCACCUCGAUGUCGGCUCUUCGCCACCUGGGGCGGUAGUACG
rnacentral:ncRNA from 1 species